GAAUAUGGUUGUGCCUUAUUUGGGAAUUUACUUAAUGGUCUGGACUCCUACCUGAAGCUGGUCACCAGCUCUGGGCUGGUCUUGCUCACCUACCAAGGGGCUGAGCCCUGGCUGGCAAGGUCCCUGUAUUGCUCAAUGUCCCUUAGGGAUCUCAUGGCCCGUUCUGGUGUGCGUUUUGCCAAAGAGCUACAUGAUUUGCUGCUUUGAAUCACAGGAUGACAAAGGACCUCUAUGAGUCCAGCCAUUGCUCUGUAGAAAUAUCCAUAUAUCACCUAAGAGGAGAUGACACGCGUCUUCUGCCUAUACCGUGAAUUGCAGCUGGGAGUAAAUCAAAGCUGAGGGAGGACCCAGAGCGGCUCUGGGGAAGGCGACCCAGGGGAA